CUUGCUCACUUAUAAAAAGCUUAUUUCUCUUGGAAUUAAGCUCAUCAAGGCUUGAUUGGAUCCAUCCAUCUUCCCGUGACCUGUAGAAAAGUAUAAUUUUUAUUUUAUCUGGGGUUUUUUGUUGUUAAUAAAGGAGUGACAGUCUUUAGCAUCCUUCUACAUCCUGACCAGAAGCAGAAGUCUCAAAGGAAGAGGAUUGUUAUGUAAACACAAUGCUCUGGACUGGCGCAUCACUGUGUGACCCCGGUGUCUGAGAGGAUACUGGAACUGGCCAUGGAUCUGGUCCAAAGUGACAUCACUCAUGGAAUUCAAUCGAGUCAGCAAAAUUAAGGUUCUGAUUUGUGCUGGAGCGAGUGUGAAUGACUGACACAAGCUGUCAGUUAAAAUUUGACUGUGGCAUGAUUCGUUGCAGAACAUGAGAUUAUUAGAGAUAUUCUGAAUAAAGAAAAGUCUUCCAAGUUAACCUUGCAGACGUAAUCUUAGGGCUACAUUUUUCACAGAUGUAUGAAUUGACAAAGCCAAGAUAAAUAACACUCUAAACGUAAAUGAAAAAACUCGCCUACUGCUGCUCUGUGCCUAAUGCAAAAGUCCUACACUUCAUCACUUUUAGUCUGUGUUUCAGAUGCUUUUGGAAAACGGACCAUUUCCUUGAAACUCACCUCUGGGACCCUAAGAUCACCUCUGAGCUCUCAUCCUUGUAUGUCUUCAUGAACUCCUCUGAACAUGAUCGCAUUUUCUUUUUCAAUAUUCCUGAACCAGGUUGUCUUGGGGUUGAAACGAAUACAUAGCCUCUUAGCCUGCCAUGCCUGCAUGGGCACCCAUUUGGGUCUUCUCCAUCAUUCCCUGGACAUGAUUCUUCAUUUUAGCAUCACAGAGGCUGCUGACAGCUCUAACGAUUAUGCUUGAAGACAAAACCUAAAUUACCCUAAUCAGCCCGCACUGAGGCUGGCAGGUAUGCAGUGCUGUCACAGCUAGUUGGUGAUAUACAAUCUGCCAUGAACAGAGCUCUUUUUCAGCUGCUCUGGCAGGGCCACCUGCCGUCUGUGCCCCACUUCCUGCCAGGAAGCUCUGUGACCUUCAGCCGCCAAAGCCAAGUGAUUAGAAAACUGGUAGCAUUCGUGCCAGGAGCUUGGUCUCUGGGGGUUUUGUUUGCCGCCGGCGGAGAAUCAGGAAGCUCCAGAAAAGAACCACAGAGAAGUGUUCUUAGCCGAGAGACAAGGAAGGGAUUCUGCCUGCAUGAAGGUAGGAUAAGAAGCUCAGAGUGAAUCUUUCCCUUCCCAAACCUGCAUGAGUAGGAUUUGGCCAAGUUUCUCAAAAUAAACAAGCACCUUUGAGGUGCUCACCCACUCAGCAGUGAGAGAGGGGACAGAAGUAUCCAACAUGAUAAAUCUAAAUGUUAAAAACCAGACCAGCUUAGCAAUGAAUAAUUGGAGAUUGGAAUUUUUAAAAAUACUAUUCAAAAAAUAUGAAAUAAUAGGG
rnacentral:lncRNA from 1 species